rnacentral:rRNA from 1 species
GAUGAACGCUGGCGGCGUGCCUAAUACAUGCAAGUCGAGCGAACGGACGAGAAGCUUGCUUCUCUGAUGUUAGCGGCGGACGGGUGAGUAACACGUGGAUAACCCACCUAUAAGACUUGGAUCACUUCGGGAAACCGGCGCUAAUACCGGAUAAUAUUUUGAACCGCAUGGUUCCAACGUGAAAGCCGGUCUUGCUGUCACUUAUAGAUGGAUCCGCGCUGCAUUAGCUAGUUGGUAAGGUAACGGCUUACCAAGGCAACGAUGCAUAGCCGACCUGAGAGGGUGAUCGGCCACACUGGAACUGAGACACGGUCCAGACUCCUACGAGAGGCAGCAGUAGGGAAUCUUCCGCAAUGGGCGAGAGCCUGACGGAGCAACGCCGCGUGAGUGAUGAAGGUCUUCGGAGCGUAAAACUCUGUUAUUAGGGAAGAACAUAUGUGUAAGUAACUGUGCACAUCUUGACGGUACCUAAUCAGAAAGCCACGGCUAACUACGUG